rnacentral:rRNA from 1 species
CCUACGGGUGGCUGCAGUGGGGAAUAUUGGACAAUGGGCGAAAGCCUGAUCCAGCCAUGCCGCGUGUGUGAAGAAGGCCUUCGGGUUGUAAAGCACUUUCAGUGGGGAAGAAAGCCUUGGGGCUAAUACCCUCGAGGAAGGACAUCACCCACAGAAGAAGCACCGGCUAACUCCGUGCCAGCAGCCGCGGUAAUACGGAGGGUGCGAGCGUUAAUCGGAAUUACUGGGCGUAAAGCGCGCGUAGGCGGUCUGAUAAGCCGGUUGUGAAAGCCCCGGGCUCAACCUGGGAACGGCAUCCGGAACUGUCAGACUAGAGUGCAGGAGAGGAAGGUAGAAUUCCCGGUGUAGCGGUGAAAUGCGUAGAGAUCGGGAGGAAUACCAGUGGCGAAGGCGGCCUUCUGGACUGACACUGACGCUGAGGUGCGAAAGCGUGGGUAGCAAACAGGAUUAGAUACCCCUGUAGUC